rnacentral:rRNA from 1 species
GACAGAGGCCCCCAAGCGUUAGGCGGAAUCACUGGGCUUAAAGCGCGUGUAGGCGGAUCGUUAAGUGCCUUGUGAAAUCCCUGCGGCUCAACCGCAGAACUGCUGGGCAUACCGGCGAUCUUGGGCCACUCAGGGGGUCACUGGAACCAAGCGGUGGAGCGGUGAAAUGCGUAGAUAUCGCUUGGAACGCCAAAGGUGAAGACAGGUGACCUGGGGGUNUGCCGACGCUGAGACGCGAAAGCCAGGGG